AUUAAACGCUGGCGGCAGGCCUAACACAUGCAAGUCGAACGAGUGGCGGACGGGUGCGUAAUGUCUGGGAAACUGCACGCUGGAGGGGGAUAACUACUGGAAACGGUAGCUAAUACCGCAUACCAUCGGAUGUGCCCACAUGGGAUUAGCUUGUAGGUUGGGUAAUGGCUCACCUAGGCGACAAUCCCUAGCUGGUCUGAGAGGAUGACCAGCCACAAGGGAACGGAGACACGGUCCAGACCCCUACGGGAGGCAGCAGUGGGGAAUAUUGCACAAUGGGCGCAAGCCGGAGACAGCCAGGCCGCGUGUAUUAAGAAGGCCUUCGGGUUGUAAAGUACUUUCAGCGAGGAGGCGUUACUCGCAGAAGAAGCACCGGCUAAAUCCGUGCCAGCAGCCGCGGUAAUUC
rnacentral:rRNA from 1 species